AUACAGAGGGUGCGAGCGUUAAUCGGAAUUACUGGGCGUAAAGCGCGCGUAGGCGGCUUAUUAAGUCAGAUGUGAAAUCCCCGGGCUCAACCUGGGAACUGCAUCUGAUACUGGUAAGCUAGAGUUUUGGAGAGGGAAGUAGAAUUUCAGGUGUAGCGGUGAUAUGCAUAGAGAUCUGAAGGAAUACCAGUGGCGAAGGCGACUUCCUGGCCAAAAACUGACGCUGAGGUGCGAAAGCGUGGGUAGCAAACGGGAUUAGAUACCCCGGUAGUCC
rnacentral:rRNA from 1 species